UACGUAGGGUGCAAGCGUUGUCCGGAAUUAUUGGGCGUAAAGAGCUCGUAGGCGGUUUGUCGCGUCUGCUGUGAAAACUCGGGGCUCAACUCCGAGCUUGCAGUGGGUACGGGCAGACUAGAGUGCGGUAGGGGAGACUGGAAUUCCUGGUGUAGCGGUGGAAUGCGCAGAUAUCAGGAGGAACACCGGUGGCGAAGGCGGGGCUCUGGGCCGUAACUGACGCUGAGGAGCGAAAGCAUGGGGAGCGAACAGG
rnacentral:rRNA from 1 species